rnacentral:lncRNA from 1 species
GGCUAGGUUGCAUUUUAUAUCGAGAACUUUCGAGCCGAUCUUUGAUUUUCGAUUUCAGAGUUCGUCUAUAAUCUUCUUGAUUAUUAUGGUCUUUGUCCUACUCAGCUGGCUCCAAACUUUAUCCAGCUGAUUAUCAGUUUUGCUUUGUUUUGUCGUCUUAUCCCGAUUGAUCCUCGCCCUUCUCUAUUUCAAAUUUUCUUUGUUCUCCGUCCUCACCCCAAGGCCAAGGGUUGGUGGUUUUCAACCUAAGGAAGGGCAUUUCUUUCAUCUCUGAUCUUCCAUCGUUCAUUCAUGGAUGGAAGAAUCAAUUUUUCUUUGCUUCUUCUUCAUCUCCUUGGGACUUUUCAUCAUGCUGGGGUGAUCCGAGAACCGGCCCUAAUGAGAAUAGUCAGGUAGAUACUAUUGAUUUGGAAGACUUCCUCCAACUAAAAGAUAUGAAAGUUCUACUGCAACGAGAGCUGAUGAUCGAACAGGUUCUCUAUGAUGCUGGACUUAGUUUGGUAACUUCUUUAGGUAUAACAUAGUCGGUCACUUCACUUUUUUAUUUAUUUGUUUCUGAAUUUUAUACUGAUCUUUAUUUUUGAUUGCAGCUAUGCGGACGAGGGCACGUAUUUUUGCUGCCGACAUCCGCUUGCAUGCUGCCAAGAAGAGGAUAGCAACC